ACUGGAAUGAAUGGCCAAAUGAGGACUAAACUGUCUCUUACGGAUUAGCCAAUGAAAUUGAUAACCCAGUACAAAAGCUGGGAUAGACCCAUAAGACGAGAAGACCCUGUGGAGCUUUAAAACCAAGUCCACCAAACAUGGUUCCCCGGUUUUUAGUUGGGGCGACUUCGGAGCAAAAUAAAACCUCCAAACAUAAAACCACUUUAUUAAGGUAAACAUACCGAAACAACAACAUAGACCCAGCAAUUUAACUCAUUUAAAUUGCCUGAUCAAUGAACCAAGUUACCCCAGGGAUAACAGCGCUAUCCCCUUCUAGAGUCCCUAUCGACAAGGGGGUUUACGACCUCGAUGUUGGAUCAGGACACCCCAAUGGUGCAGCCGCCAUUAAAG
rnacentral:rRNA from 1 species